rnacentral:rRNA from 1 species
AAUGGGCGCAAGCCUGAUCCAGCCAUGCCGCGUGCAGGAAGAAGGCCUUCGGGUUGUAAACUGCUUUUGUCAGGGAAGAAAUCCUUUGGGUUAAUACCUCGGAGGGAUGACGGUACCUGAAGAAUAAGCACCGGCUAACUACGUGCCAGCAGCCGCGGUAAUACGUAGGGUGCAAGCGUUAAUCGGAAUUACUGGGCGUAAAGCGUGCGCAGGCGGUUAUGCAAGACAGAGGUGAAAUCCCCGGGCUCAACCUGGGAACUGCCUUUGUGACUGCAUGACUAGAGUACGGCAGAGGGAGAUGGAAUUCCGCGUGUAGCAGUGAAAUGCGUAGAUAUGCGGAGGAACACCGAUGGCGAAGGCAAUCUCCUGGGCCUGUACUGACGCUCAUGCACGAAAGCGUGGGGAGCAAA